CCCCCGGCUACUCGCUCCUGCUUUCCAUCACCACUGAUCACCAUGAUCACGCGAGGAUAGCGCGGCGCUAGCUGGCUAGCUAUGAUUCAAUAAUUAGCGGUAACAAUUUACAAUGAAAAUAAUCAUGAUAAUUCGUAUGUGAAUCUACUCGUUGAUCAACUGCCUAGCUGGACCGACGUCCGUGUGUAGGCAAUCUGGUUAGUGCAGUCAGCGUCAAGCUGCUGCAGCGAGAGGAGGUACUGGACCAGUGUUGUGACCGCGGGUAGAGCGGGUAUCCCUGGCCGGGAGUACCGCGUGCAUAGGGCGCUACGAACCGUUCUAAUUCUGUACAUCGACAUCGCUGCCGCUGGCUGCGCACACGGCAGGCACGCAUAGAAGAAGCAGCUGCAACGAUGCCGACUACGUACAAUCCGUGGAAAGACGCAGACUUUCUCAAACUGAAGCCAGAUCUGGCGGAGAAGAUGGACAAUCGGACCAUGAGAGUCCUGUGCGGAUCCGAGCUCUUGAUCUCCAGUUCAGAUGAGAAGAAGCUCCUUGCAACAGGAGAUGAAAUAGAACACAACGACCUACUUCUCGACCUGCUGCAGAAGGGGGAUGCUGACUCGUUUAGGAUAUUUGAUCGCAUGCUACGAUCAGACCGCAUUGUUAAGUUCAACUUCUCCGAAAUCUAUCCACGUCUUGACGUUAUUUUAGAACGCAUAGACAAGCACCGUCAGCAUGGCCAGGCUGCACCAACAAGAACAACGUCAGCAAUAACCGGCCAUCCCGGACUGAAUCUCAGCAGGGACGCGGAGCAAAAACGGCAGAGACUGUCAGUGACGGCAGAAGGCAGCAAUCUAGCGACGGGGCUGGUUUGAAUACAUGUUUCUGCGCCGACCCGUUCAAGGACCCUCGCUACGUGAGCGCGGUUCUGUUCCUGAAGUCGCUCGACCCAACCGAGCUACGCAAUCGUGCUCAGCAAGCUGGCAAUCUUCUCAACGAAUCCCAAGUCGACCGCCUGGUGUGGACCGAGCAAUAUCGGCCGCCACACAUCCACAACCAGGACCUGAUCAAGGUGAUCAAGCCGCAAGAACAACUGGGCUACAUUCGCCUUUGCCGGAUUAUGAAGGACUGGGGAAAGUACCCGGGAAAGCUGGCGGAAAUGAAUCAACUACUGCCUGCAGACAAGCGGGUUUGAAAGUAAGAACUUGCGAGCAAAGAUGCUUGACGCACUAGGAUCUUGCAACAUUGGCGGCAGUUGUAGAAGAAGGUCGCUGCU